rnacentral:lncRNA from 1 species
UUUCAAUUGACAAGAUCUUGGCUUCUAAUUUAUUUAGACUUCCAGAAUAGGUUCCUCCUAAAAUUACAUUGAUCCCUUCUUCCUUCACUGGGAGUUCCAUGUUAGAAUAUCCCUCACAGGGCAAAUGUAGAAUCUCUCCCAAAAUAAUAGGAUCUAAGCAGAUAUCAAUUCCCUUAACAGUAGAAGUUACUGUUCCAUUGCCAUAGUGCAGAUUUAGAUAAAACUCUCUAACCAAGUCUACAUAUGUAACUUCCUUGAGAGAACAGUAAAAUCCCCAACCUUGGUUUUUGAUCUUUGACCCAAAGGAGAAACCUUCUUUUUCAAAGAAUCUAAAGUCUACAUUCUUGUCGGUUUCUACCUUUCUAUCAGAGAGAGAAAUUUUGCUAGGGCUAAGAGGAGAUUGAGAGGGACCUGGUGCAGACGCUGA